UUUAAUGGCUAAGUUUUAUUGCAAAACUUUUGGACAUUGUAAAAUAGACUUUUUUUUACAAAGAAGAUUGUUUUGUUUUAUCAAGAACUUCAUACAUGUACAUGUAUAUUGUAUAAUACUAUAAUAAUAAUUGCUAUAGAAUAAUGGUCUUCCAGUACUCUUAAUUUCAUCAACAGAUGAGAAGAGGUAGGAGGGGUUCUGAUCCUGAAAUCCCUGGCUUAAAAACAUGAAAUCCUGAAAUCCCAGGGUUAAAAACGCGAAAUCCUGAAGUCCCGAAAUUCGAAAAAAAGAUUUCCCAAAUCCCAAAAGGGUCAAUCCCGAAAUGCCAAGCUUAUAAACACCCGAUCCAGGAGUCCCGAUAAAGGUCCUAUCCCCCCUCACAGAUUGUAAGCAUGCCGUGACCUUAACUAACUAUAAAUCUUUCUUAGAAAUUUGGGGAAAAAUGUAAUGUAAGAACCCUAAAUCAAUGUUGAAAGAAGAUAAUGUUAACUGAUUCUCAAAAAAAAUAAUUAAAUAUGAUUGAUAACCCUUAAUUGAACAACUUAUGACAAACUUCAAUUUGGAAUUGAGAACAUAGAAAUAACAAGUAAACAUUGCACUGUGACUGUCAUCAAAGGC
rnacentral:lncRNA from 1 species